UACGAAGGGGGCUAGCGUUGCUCGGAAUCACUGGGCGUAAAGCGCACGUAGGCGGAUUGCUAAGUCAGGGGUGAAAUCCUGGAGCUCAACUCCAGAACUGCCCUUGAUACUGGCGGUCUCGAGUCCGGAAGAGGAGAGUGGAAUUCCUGGUGUAGCGGUGGAAUGCGCAGAUAUCAGGAGGAACACCAAUAGCGAAGGCAGCUCGCUGGGACGGUACUGACGCUAAGGCGCGAAAGCGUGGGGAGCGAACAGG
rnacentral:rRNA from 1 species